rnacentral:rRNA from 1 species
GACGAACGCUGGCGGCGUGCCUAAUACAUGCAAGUUGAGCGCUGAAGGUUGGUACUUGUACCCACUGGAUGAGCAGCGAACGGGUGAGUAACGCGUGGGGAAUCUGCCUUUGAGCGGGGGACAACAUUUGGAAACGAAUGCUAAUACCGCAUAAAAACUUUAAACACAAGUUUUAAGUUUGAAAGAUGCAAUUGCAUCACUCAAAGAUGAUCCCGCGUUGUAUUAACUAGUUGGUGAGGUAAAGGCUCACCAAGGCGAUGAUACAUAGCCGACCUGAGAGGGUGAUCGGCCACAUUGGGACUGAGACACGGCCCAAACUCCUACGGGAGGCAGCAGUAGGGAAUCUUCGGCAAUGGACGAAAGUCUGACCGAGCAACGCCGCGUGAGUGAAGAAGGUUUUCGGAUCGUAAAACUCUGUUGGUAGAGAAGAACGUUGGUGAGAGUGGAAAGCUCAUCAAGUGACGGUAACUACCCAGAAAGGGACGGCUAACUACGUG